rnacentral:lncRNA from 1 species
CAGGUUCUCAUCCAGAUCCCCCUGGACAAAACCUAGAGGAAAAAAGUUUCACUCACUGCUUCUUCAUGCUCCUUCCAGCAGUCAUAAUCUGUUGCCAUAGCAAUACUUGCAUAACUCAUUCCAGCUUCUUUUGCAAGAAUCACUUCAGGCACUGUGGUCAUGUUGAUAACAUCAGCUCCCCAGCUGCGAAACAUCAAGCUUUCUGCUCGAGAACUGAAGCGUGGGCCUUCAAUGGUGAUCAUUGUCCCCUUGGAAUGACACUGGAGCCCAAGUUUCUUUGCAAUCUCAAUAAGAACCUGCAGAACAUGCCAGUAUCAGGAAAAAAUGGCUCUGACAUUGGAAUAUGACAUACUCCUGAGAGACUGCAAGACUGACCAUCAUAUAAAGUACAGUGUCUUUUAGUUGUCCUGAAAAAGCAGAAAACAUACUCUGAGAGAAGAACAGGGAUCAAACAGAACAGAAAACAGUAAACUUACGGAAAUAUCCACACGAUAGCUAUGGCCACCUAUACUCACAGAAUGAUAGGAUGGCUGAGACUGGCAGGGAUCUCUAGAGGCCAUUUUGUCCAGACCUGUGCUUAAGCAGGGACAUCUACAGCAGGCUGCCCAGGACCACGUCCAGAUGGUUUUCAAAUAUCCUCAGGGAGGGAGAUGCCAGAACUUCUGUGGACAAUCUGCCAGUGCUCCAACAUCCGCACAGUAAAAAAGUGUUUUCUGAUAUUCAGAGAGAACCUCCAGUGUUCCAGUUAGUGUCCACUGACUUUUGUCCAGCCACUGGAAACCCACAUGGCUCUCUCCGCUUUGAGUGCUUUCUUUGUGUAUUAGUACACACUGGUGAGACCCUCCGCUGAGCGUUCUCCAGGCUGAAAAAGCUCUGCCAGCCUUUCCCCAUAGGGAACAUACUCUAAUCCCUUCAUCUCACGGCCUUCCUUUGGACUCUCUCCAGUAUGUUCACGUUGCCCUUGUAAGAGGAAACCCAGACCUGGACCAGGCACUGCAGCUGAGGCAUCAUCAGUGCUGAGUGGAAGGGAAGCAUCACUUCUCUCAAUCUGUUGACAACACUUUGCCUAAUGCAUCCCAGGAUACCACGAAACCUUCUCUGCAGCAGCUCAUGUAUAAAGUGAUUUGAAUAUAAAGAC